GAUAAACGCUGGCGGCGUGCCUAAAACAUGCAAGUCGUACGAGUUCGCUUUCGGGCGGACGAGUGGCGGACGGCUGAGUAACACGUGGGUGACCUACCUCCGAGCGGGGGAUAACUGCCCGAAAGGGUAGCUAAUACCGCAGACGUCGCUGAUUCGGUUCAACGACUAAACCCGCAAGGGGCUUGGAGAGGGGCCCGCGGCCGAUUAGCUUGUUGGUGGGGUAACAGCCUACCAAGGCGACGAUCGGUAGCUGGUCUAAGAGGAUGAUCAGCCAGACUGGGACUGCGACACGGCCCAGACUCCUACGGGAGGCAGCAGUUAGGAAUUUUGGGCAAUGGGGGAAACCCUGACCCAGCAACGCCGCGUGGGUGACGAAGGCCUUCGGGUUGUAAAGCCCUUUUCCGGGGGAAGAUAGUGACGGUACCUUGGGAAUAAGCCCCGGCUAACUACGUGCCAGCCGCCGCAGUAACAC
rnacentral:rRNA from 1 species